rnacentral:rRNA from 1 species
UUAUGUGAUCGUCUCUCGCAUAUCAAUAAGCGGAGGAAAAGAAACUAACAAGGAUUCCCCUAGUAACGGCGAGUGAAGCGGGAAGAGCUCAAAUUUGAAAUCUUAAAGGGUUUCCCUUUACGAAUUGUAGUUUAAAGAAGUGUUUUCUGUUGAGGUUUUGGUAAAAGUUCUUUGGAAUAGGACAUCAUAGAGGGUGAGAAUCCCGUAUUUGACCUUUACUUUCAACUUUGUGAUACACUUUCAAAGAGUCGGAUUGUUUGGGAAUGCAGUCCAAAAUGGGUGGUAAAUUUCAUCUAAAGCUAAAUAUUGGCGAGAGACCGAUAGCGAACAAGUACCGUGAGGGAAAGAUGAAAGAACUUUGAAAAGAGAGUUAAACAGUACGUGAAAUUGUCAAAAGGGAAGCGUUUGACACCAGUGUUGUUUUUCUGAAAAUCAAUUAAAGAACUGUUUAUGCUAAGCUGUUUAGACUUUAUCAGCUAACUGUUUAGUUUUGAGCUUUUCUUUAAUGCACUUUUCAGUUAACAAGUCAACAUCAAUUUCUUUUGCUGUAAAAAAGCUUGAGGAAGGUGGCUUGAGAUUCGUCUUAAGUGUUUAUAGCCUCUUGCUUAUGCAGUCGGAGAGAUUGAGGUCUGCAGCGUAGAUCCUUCGGGGCUAUAUGCAUUUGUGCUAAGUUAUAGCAUUUUAUAGACAACUUGCUGACUAUGAUUUGUCUUGUAGCUUACUCGCUUAUGUUAUUUUACCUACGUUUAGGAUGUUGAGCGCAUGUCUCUCUCU